rnacentral:rRNA from 1 species
AGAGUUUGAUCAUGGCUCAGAUUGAACGCUGGCGGAAUGCUUUACACAUGCAAGUCGAACGAUGAACCUUAGCUUGCUAAGGGGAUUAGUGGCGAACGGGUGAGUAAUAUAUCGGAACGUGCCUUGUAAUGGGGGAUAACUAGUCGAAAGAUUAGCUAAUACCGCAUACGCCCUGAGGGGGAAAGUAGGGGAUCUUCGGACCUUACGUUAUAAGAGCGGCCGAUAUCUGAUUAGCUAGUUGGUGGGGUAAUGGCCUACCAAGGCGACGAUCAGUAGCUGGUCUGAGAGGACGACCAGCCACACUGGAACUGAGACACGGUCCAGACUCCUACGGGAGGCAGCAGUGGGGAAUUUUGGACAAUGGGCGCAAGCCUGAUCCAGCCAUUCCGCGUGAGUGAAGAAGGCCUUCGGGUUGUAAAGCUCUUUCGCAAGGGAAGAAAACUUACCAUCGAAUAAAUGGUGAGGCUGACGGUACCUUGAUAAGAAGCACCGGCUAACUACGUGCCAGCAGCCGCGGUAAUACGUAGGGUGCGAGCGUUAAUCGGAAUUACUGGGCGUAAAGCGUGCGCAGGCGGUUUGGCAAGUCAGAUGUGAAAUCCCCGAGCUCAACUUGGGAACUGCGUUUGAAACUGCCAGACUAGAAUAUGUCAGAGGGGGGUAGAAUUCCACGUGUAGCAGUGAAAUGCGUAGAGAUGUGGAGGA